rnacentral:sRNA from 1 species
ACAAAUCGUUCGGUUUUACUCCUCCUCCCAAAAAACCGGACAUGAGCGCGGUACUCCUCCUCCCAAACCGCGCUUUCAGUUUAAGCCCGCAGCGCCCCGCGCAGCGGGCUUUUCUG